rnacentral:rRNA from 1 species
GAUCUAGCCAUGGGCAGGUUGAAGGUUGGGUAACACUAACUGGAGGACCGAACCGACUAAUGUUGAAAAAUUAGCGGAUGACCUGUGGCUGGGGGUGAAAGGCCAAUCAAACCGGGAGAUAGCUGGUUCUCCCCGAAAGCUAUUUAGGUAGCGCCUCGUGAAUUCAUCUCCGGGGGUAGAGCACUGUUUCGGCUAGGGGGCCAUCCCGGCUUACCAACCCGAUGCAAACUGCGAAUACCGGAGAAUGUUAUCACGGGAGACACACGGCGGGUGCUAACGUCCGUCGUGAAGAGGGAAACAACCCAGACCGCCAGCUAAGGUCCCAAAGUCAUGGUUAAGUGGGAAACGAUGUGGGAAGGCCCAGACAGCCAGGAUGUUGGCUUAGAAGCAGCCAUCAUUUAAAGAAAGCGUAAUAGCUCACUGGUCGAGUCGGCCUGCGCGGAAGAUGUAACGGGGCUAAACCAUGCACCGAAGCUGCGGCAGCGACACUGUGUGUUGUUGGGUAGGGGAGCGUUCUGUAAGCCUG